CACACAUCUCUCCUUAUCCUAUGGGCUUGUGCUUGUUGCAAUUGUUUGUUGAAUUGACUAAUUGACGAUAGUUUAUUUUGUGUGUGUUUAGGCGGUUAUGGAAGGUUUGUUCCUGCUAUUUCAUGUUGGCCUUUACAAGGGCAUGAAUAAAACAUUGUAGAGUAUUGGAUAAGCUUUAAAGAAUUUAGAAGCUUUUGCUCAGUCCCCAAUAUUCUUGUUUGCUUUCUCAUUGACAUGCAUGUGAUUUUCUGAUUGCUGAUUCAUAGGCGGAUGAAUUAGUUCCUCGUCGUGUUGAAGUCUUUUCAAGCAUAAUGUUCUACCUCCUGAUGCAGUGAUUUCUGCUGGUUCAGUAAACUCUGCAUAUACUGCAGAUCUUCAUCAGUACCCCAGAAGGUAGAUAUUCUAGAGGGCCUGCAUGUUAUUGUGUGGCAUGCGGUAUGGGCUAUUCCAUGGUUAUAGUUGAUAGAACAAAUGUUGGUGACCGAUUUGAGCAGCUGGAUAUCUAUGAUGGCAAGGCUUCUGGUGAAUUGUCGGGCUCACAUUGACGAAUGAAAGUUACUGGUGGUAGGUGACACCUAACAAAGUUGAAUUUAAAAUGUGCUCCAACUGCAAGUAUGGGUUUAAUAAAUUAAUAAUUAAUAACCACUGAUGAAAUGGAAGAACGUGUAGAAGUUUGUCUUUAUUCUUUGAGAAAUUAUUAGGUGUU